AGCAGCCGCGGUAAAUUCCAGCUCCAAUAGCGUAUAUUAAAGUUGUUGCAGUUAAAAAGCUCGUAGUUGAAUUUCGGGAUCAAUAUAUCGGUCGUGCCUCUGGUACGUACUGGUAUCAUUGAUUUCUCCCUUCUGACGAACCAUGAUUUCAUUUAUUUGGUGUCAUGGGGAGUUAGGACUGUUACUUUGAAAAAAUUAGAGUGUUUAAAGCAGGCAUUAGCUUGAAUACAUUAGCAUGGAAUAAUGAAAUAGGACGUUUGACCCUAUUUUGUUGGUUUCUAGGAUUGACGUAAUGAUUAAUAGGGAUAGUUGGGGGCAUUAGUAUUCAAUUGUCAGAGGUGAAAUUCUUGGAUUUAUUGAAGACUAACUACUGCGAAAGCAUUUGCCAAGGAUGUUUUCA
rnacentral:rRNA from 1 species